rnacentral:rRNA from 1 species
GACGAACCGUGCGAACGUUGUUCGGAAUCACUGGGCUUAAAGGGCGCGUAGGCGGGCCUCCCAGUCCGAGGUGAAAGCUUUCGGCUUAACCGGAAAAGUGCCUUGGAUACUGGAGGUCUUGAGGGAGGUAGGGGCAGCUGGAACUUCCGGUGGAGCGGUGAAAUGCGUUGAUAUCGGAAGGAACGCCGGUGGCGAAAGCGAGCUGCUGGAUCUCUACUGACGCUGAGGCGCGAAAGCCAGGGGAGCGAACGGG